GCGGCUCAAUGUACAUAUGAUCUAUUUCUUCUUGGAGAUAUCUACUAUCAUAUUAUGACUUGGUGCUAUCUGAACCUUCUAUUUUCUCACCUUUUUUGGCGGCAAUUAUCCCUUAGACUGCAAUAGUUUUUAUAGGUGCCAUUGUAAGUGUAGGUUUUCUACAGUUAAGCCUCUUGCAUUGCAAAAAGCUACAUUCCAUUGUUUUUCUACGUGCCAUUGUAAGUGCAGGUUUUCUACUAGCUUCAACAUAGAUAAUUAGCAUGAGAGAGGCUUAACUGUAGCUUUUUGCAAUGCUAGAAGGACAUAUUCAGUACUGAAAAUCUAGACUGUUCUUUCCACUCUGUAACAACUUCUAUGCUUGCGCUACCAUGAUAUCACUACAACAUUUCCCUAUAAAAUUUUAGUAGUUGCAUGUAAACUGAAUUGAUUUACCAGUAAAAAUCUGGACAACUCAUUCCAGUCGAUAAUAACCAUUGUGGCAUUACCAUGAUAUGUCAUGUAUUUGCUCCGAGUCGUAGUAUGUUGCAGAAAGUAUAAUAAGAGAUAGAAUGUAUGCACUAUGGCGAAUGUAUGCAUUAUGGCUAGCAGUAACAUUUUUUUGACUUGCGCAGCAUUUGAUCUAUCUAUUUCUGCAGGCUAUUUCUCAUGUUGCAACCUUUUCCCGUAGAAUCAAAACGAGUUAGAUGGAAGAAAUUGCAGGAGGUAUAUUUCGUGUUCUACUUUUGGAGGCUUGUCUAUAGUAUUAGUGUUGGAGGUCUGUCAAUAGUAGUAUUAGUUUUGGAGGCUUGUCUAUAUUAGUCAUAUUUUUUGGAUUGCGUUUUUUUCCAUCUGCAUCCUCUGGAUUAUGUUUCUUUGUUAUUGCCAUGUGUUACUCUUUCUCAUUACUGUGAUCGUCAGUGCUCUUCACAGUGGUUGUUCUUGCUUUAUGGUUGCCUUCUCAGUGCACUUUUAUUAGUUGUAAUACAUUAAUAUAAUAUGCUCGAUUGACCAUAUUAAUUAUAUAUUGCACUUCACGGGGGGGCUGUUGGUGGAAGUGUUAGUUAAAAUAUUUUGGUGGCAGUGUAUAAAACUAACUGUUGUACACCAUUGUUAAGUGCACUUUUGAGCUUUGAGUAGACAACUGUGGUCUUAAUUACUUUAAAGGGUCGUUAGUAUAUAUUACUAUCGGAUUUUAAUGUUCAGUUAUUCACACUAUCAUUGCUUGAUUAUGAUAGCUUGCUAUUAUUAGAGAAGGAAUGGUAUUCCCGGCGUGACAUUCAAAAGCAGUCAAGAUGGUGAGGUUUAGAACGGAGGAGCUCCGCGGAAUUAUGGAUAGAAAAUAUCCAUAACAUGUCUGUCAUUGCCAUGUUGACCGCGGUAUGUGACCAAGCAGUGACAGCUGUCUCUAAUUAUCAAUUUUAUACAGUAGAAUCUUCUUGAUUGAUGAUUUUGUAGUCUUCUCUUAGUUGUACUAUAUUAAUUCUUAAAACUAGAUCAUUUAAAAUUAGUUAGAUUUAAUGAGUUGUUUCACUGUUUUCAAAUAAGUAGUUUAAGCCCUUAUUGUGUUCUGGAGCAUAUUCUUUCUGCCUUUUUAUGAUUGAUUUAUGCUCUCAAAAGCUUAAUUGUAACUAUCGGCGUAUAAUCUCAUGGCUCAAAAUCUUAAUUGUUGAAUGUAUUAAAAUUUAUGAUCUGGAGUUUGCACUAUAUUUCAUACAGCGGUAUUCCCAGUAACUGAAUGUUAAGAGAACUGACGAUCCCAGGUUGUACAUUCAGUUACUGGGAAAUGCUUUUAUCUUGUAGGCUAGUUUGACACUUACUUUUUCAAUAAUGAGAUGACCAUGAGCAGUGUAUCAAGGUCUUUUAAAUACUAACGUUGUGUUAAGAUUAGUAAAAGAAGGAUUGAUAGCGGCAUACCUUAACUCGACUGAUUCUUUAAUUGCUGCCUCUCUAAGCCUUGAUUAGCCAUGGAGAUACUGAAGUUCCAAAGCCACAAGUUAGGCCAUCCUUCUAAGAUCCGUUCAUCCCAGUUCAUUAAUUUGUUUGAAAUAUAUAUUUAUAUUCCAAAAUUGCUCAAUCUCCAGCAGGCCUCAAGGUUAUCAGAUGAAAUCCGGUUAAAUUUUCCUCUAGACUUAGUUGAAAGUAUUCCUUUUGUUAUCCAGUUUUUUGCUACGCAUGUUACCUUUGUCGCUGAAUAUUGCCUACAGUUUAUAUAUAGUAGACUCACAUGAUUACCUGAUGACUCGUUCACGCAAGAACUAUUGUCAAUUUUUUCCUUUUCUGCAAUGAUGGUCGUAGCCCUUUGAUUCUACAAGCCGCAAAGGAGCAAAGUGUAGAAAAAUAUGUCCAUUGUUGUUGAAUUGGUGGGAUUGUCACCAAGUUAGUGCUGCAGAUUGUUUCUAUUUUAGAGGAAGAAGCCAAAUCAUGUUGUUCAUUGUAAAUCUUGAAAAACUUGUUUAUUGUCACUUUUAUAUCUGUUAUAAACUUUUGUUCAUGAU
rnacentral:lncRNA from 1 species